rnacentral:SRP_RNA from 1 species
GCCGGGUGUGGGGGCUCACACCUGUAAUCCCAGCACUUUGGGAGGCUGAGGUGGGCGGAUCACCUGAGGUCAGGAGUUUGAGACCAGCCUGGCCAACAUGGUGAAACCCCAUCUCUA